rfam:Gossypium hirsutum cultivar TM-1 chromosome 13, whole genome shotgun sequence
UGUUAAAAAUUUUAUCCAUUUCUGCUGUUAAAAUCCGGCGUAGCUGACAAAAUAACCAAAUAGUUACAUGGGGCAUACCACAUGUACCACAUGCUGACGUAUAAUGACCAGUUUUUAACAAUAAAAAUGAAUGAAAUUUUUGACA